rnacentral:sRNA from 1 species
GAUGCAAAGAAUAUGGCCAAGGAUGUACAUGAUGCCCUUGUGGAAAUAAUAAGCAAAGAGGUUGGAGUUGAAAAACUAGAAGCAAUGAAAACCCUGGCCACUUUAAAAGAAGAAAAACGCUAUCUUCAGGAUAUUUGGUCAUAAAACCAGAAAUUAAAGACAGAGAAUUAAGCUUUUUUGACUGAAAGUACUAAAAGUCAGCUUUACUAGUGCCAAGACUUUAAAUUUUCAAAAGAAAAUUUUCUUUCAACAUUUCUUGAAGGACAUGGAGUGGGGAUUGGAUCAUUUAACAAUAUAACAAAACUUCCUGAUUUGAUAUUACAUAUCUUCUAUCUACGCCCUUCCUGUGCCUGUGACUCUCCCCAAAUUGCCCUGUUGCCUUGAGUUCUUCUGAGCUAAGGCAGCCUUCAGUCCCUAUCAGCGCCUCCUUUACUUCCCAGAGAACUUCACAGAGACUCUGUCCUUCCAUGCAAAGGCUUCCUGAAAUAGGGAGACUGACUGAGUAGCUCAUUCUUGUGACUUACAGUGCCAACAUUUAAAAAACUUGGGAUUUAAAACAUCUCUGUUGAAGGCUUUUGAUCCUUUUGAGAAAUAAAGAUCUGAAAGAAAUGGCAUAAUCU